rnacentral:lncRNA from 10 species
CAGGGGGUGGCCACAGGACAGAUAAAGUUAUUUUCUGAAUGUGUUGUUUGAGGAGGUACCUGUGGAAUAUCUAAGUGGUGAUGACUGAAUGAAAUGUGAACACAAAAACCUGGAGGUCAGCAGAAAGAUCUGGGUUGGAGACGCAGCUCUGAGAAUUUACUCAGGGUCUGUGGCAUGCUGCCAGCCCCACCCCCCCAGGCUUUUGGUCUCUGCUGGUCCUUUCAUCUCCACAAAGGGCCAGAGUCUGUUUUCCUAAUUUCUGGGAAACAUCUGGAGCAGAGUAUGAGGUAAAGAAAUUCCACUGCUUAUCUCAGCUGAUGAAAGGGUUAAAGAAGAAAUGAUCAACAUCAAUCAUAAAGAAAAGACAGAGUUGAUUGAAUGUCCAUGCCACUUAGGUGGAUCACUUGAAGACUAGGAGCAGAAAAAAACUGUAGAAAAUUGUCUUGAAAACUUUUUAUUUAACAGAGAACACAAGGUGUAAUGAUUCAGAAGUAAUGAGUCAUUUAGAAAUAAUAAAACUAUUACUUUGCCUGGAAAACAUAGGCAAUCUUGGGUGGAUGACUCAGUGUGGAAACUGCUUCCAACAGAACAGUUUAAAAGAAUACCAAAAGUGUACAGUAAGGCCUAUUUGUGGAAUAAAAAAGGAGACCUGGAAUAUUUUAUUUGUCAUGUCCACUUCAAAAAUAGUUGAG